CAGCUGGUGGACAUUAUUGAGAAAGUGAAACCUGAGAUCCGGCUGUUGAUUGAGAAAUGUAACACAGUCAAAAUGCGGGUACAGCUCCUGAUUCCCAGGAUAGAAGAUGGAAACAACUUUGGGGUGUCCAUUCAGGAGGAAACAGUUGCAGAGCUAAGAACUGCUGAGAGUGAAGCUGCAUCUUAUCUGGACCAGAUUUCUAGAUAUUAUAUUACAAGAGCCAAAUUAGUUUCUAAAAUAGCUAAAUAUCCCCAUGUGGAGGACUAUCGCCGCACCAUGACAGAGAUUGAUGAGAAAGAAUAUAUCAGCCUUCGGCUCAUCAUAUCAGAGCUGAGGAAUCAAUAUGUCACUCUACAUGACAUGAUCCUGAAAAAUAUCGAGAAGAUCAAACGGCCCCGGAGCAGCAAUGCAGAGACUCUGUACUGAGGCCAGGGCCAGGGCCAGGGCCAGGGCCAGGGGACUCUGUGAGUCUGGCUCAAGACCGACAUUGCCUUGGUUUGUUACAUGACUAUUGUGAUGGGGAAACUGGCUGCAGAUGGUAAUCACACCUCUCUGUUUUUAGUUAGAGUCUAAUGAAACUCUCAUC